ACUAUAAAGCCGUUAAGCCCACCUGAGUAGUAACGGCUUAAGCCCCAAACUCAAAGAAUUUGGCGGCUCUUUAUCUCAUUAGAGGAACCUGCCCCGUAAUCGAUGGUCCACGAAACCUUGUACCUACCCCUAUAGCUUGUAUACCGCCGUUCAGGGUGGGUCUAGAGACCUGCUCGAAAUUAAAUUAUUAAGUAAUUCAGGUCAAGGUGCAGCCCAUGGGUAGGAGGAGGUGGGUUACAAUAAGCUUAUCCGGAUUAUGAAUUGAAAAUUUAUAUGAAGUUGGAUUUAAUAGUAAAAUCUAAAAUAUUGGAAGAGCGCUAAAGUGU
rnacentral:rRNA from 1 species